UACGUACCGUCCAAACGUUAUUCGGAAUUACUGGGCUUAGAGGGUGCGUAGGCGGUCCGAUAAGUUGGGUGUGAAAGACCUCGGCUCAACCGAGGAAUGGCGCCCAAAACUGUCGGACUCGAGUAAGGCAGAGGUGAACGGAACUUAGGGUGGAGCGGUGAAAUGCGUUGAUAUCCUAAGGAACACCAGUAGCGAAAGCGGUUCACUGGGCCUUUACUGACGCUGAUGCACGAAAGCCAGGGGAGCGAACGGG
rnacentral:rRNA from 1 species